UGCCCUUAUGAAAGGAUCGAUCCACUC
rnacentral:piRNA from 1 species